rnacentral:rRNA from 1 species
AUACGGAGGAUCCGAGCGUUAUCCGGAUUUAUUGGGUUUAAAGGGUGCGCAGGCGGCCAUUUAAGUCAGCGGUUAAAUCGUGGGGCUCAACCCCAUUCUGCCGUUGAUACUGGGUGGCUUGAUUGCGGUCGAGGUUGGCGGAAUUCGUUGUGUAGCGGUGAAAUGCAUAGAUAUGACGAAGAACACCGAUUGCGUAGGCAGCUGACCAGACCGCAAAUGACGCUCAUGCACGAAAGUGCGGGGAUCGAACAGGAUUAGAUACCCUGGUAGUCCGCACAGUAAACGAUGAAUACUUGUUUUCGGCGAUAUAAUGUCGGAGGCAAAGCGAAAGAGAUAAGUAUUCCACCUGGGGAGUACGCCGGCAACGGUGAAACUCAAAUGAAUUGACGGG